rnacentral:lncRNA from 1 species
CAGCUGGAUAAGACUUCUCUGAAGCUUAACAUCUCAGUGGAACAAGAUAUUGAAGUACGGAACCUGAAACCAGCAACAGUGCGUGUCUAUGACUACUAUAAGCCAGAUGACCGCACAGCAAGAGAAUACAAUUCCCCUUGCAGUUCAGAUGUCUAGAUGGAUUCCUACCAGAACUCCAUGGCUCUGGAACCAGCAAUCUGAAUUUCCCACUUCCAAAAGGAAAACUUCAUUGCUCUGGCUCUACUCUGUGUACUCUGCUGUACACACUUGUGUUCUGUUGGAUGCACCCUGUUUCUUCUGAUGCCCUAGUUUUUAUGUGAAACAUGACUUGAUGUGCAGUACUUUGGGUUCAAGUGAAAUAAAGUACACAGAACUUGAAAAGAAUGCAAUGACUUGAUAGUUGAUGAAAUCUGCACAGAGUUCAAU